CUGAGAAACUUUGCAGAUGUGCGUCCCUCCCAAAGCUGCAUGCUUAGUGGAAGAGAAUGGACUUCCCGGAAAUGAGACGGACAGGUUUUCUAUUGAGCGUAUUGGAGUAGCUGCUCCCCUACUAGAACUUCCAAACAAGAAAUUUUGGAGAUUACUUCAUAAAUUCUUCUCAUGAUAUAUUUAUGUACAAGCUAGUCCACUUAGCAAGCACUUGAGCUUU
rnacentral:snRNA from 1 species